UACGUAGGGGGGCAAGCGUUGUCCGGAAUUAUUGGGCGUAAAGCGCGCGCAGGCGGUUAAUUAAGUUGGGUGUUUUAAGCCCGGGGCUCAACCCCGGUUCGCAUCCAAAACUGGUUGACUUGAGUAUAGGAGAGGAAAGUGGAAUUCCACGUGUAGCGGUGAAAUGCGUAGAGAUGUGGAGGAACACCAGUGGCGAAGGCGACUUUCUGGCCUAUAACUGACGCUGAGGCGCGAAAGCAUGGGGAGCGAACGGG
rnacentral:rRNA from 1 species